GGACUGGGCCAAGUCCAAAAUGGAAAGAAAGUGUCCAUAUGAAUAAAGUGGGUGCAUCAAAGUUUUUUAGGCUGACAGACCAGGCUUGAGCCCAAGCAGAAGGGGGCUACGAAUGGAAGCAAAGGGGGUGCGGAAGAAAAAAAAAUCGCGAGCCCAGGCACCCAAGCCCAAGGCUCGAACCUAACCUAGAAACCUAAAGGGGUUUGAAACCCCUCAUCUCAUUCUGCAAUCUAAAACCUCAGAGACCUCACGCCCCUCUCCCACGCAUGUCUCCGAACAUCGUCUGCCACCGGUUCCUUCCGAACAGACACCACCACAACCAUCACCUGCGGCGGCCGACUCCACCGGAAUCGUGGCCGGCCAUUUCCUCUCUUCCUCUCGCGCUUGCCCAAUGUUGGAGUUCGCACACCACCGCCUCCAUCUGACAACCAUCGUCUCUGGCCGUCGUCUGCAAACCCCAAGGCUUGUCGUUGGUUGCCGGAGUCGUUACGAACCGAAACGGAGAGAAACCCUACUCCGCCGC
rnacentral:lncRNA from 1 species